rnacentral:lncRNA from 1 species
AUCACUGCUAAUUUACAUCUCUAUUCACAACUCAUGGUUUGCCGUAAUAUAAACCUUUUAGUUCAAAAUUAACAUCAGAACAGAUCAUCUGUACAUCAUGUCACUUCUUCAAAAAGAAUCAUGCCUCAAAAAUGAGGGAGAAUACUCAUUUACAUGCAAUGAACUUCUUGUCAACAAUACAAUACAACAGCCAAGAGAAAAUAGAUUGAUAUUCAAUCAUUUCUUUGUCUCAAAAUAAAUUGAAGUGCUGCUAGUCAACUAAUAGCUACCACAUUGAAAAAUGGUGUCAUAGUGGGAGAUGUGGGCAGCUGAGUAAGUAUAAACAAUAACCAUCCAUCUUAAAUAUUGUCUAAAACCGAGAUGCCUCUGGUGAUGUAAAAGUCAUACUUCAAUGUCAAUAUAGAAAGAAACCAUCUCAGAAAAGUCGGCCAUUACCAUAUUUAAAAUGUUCUUUUAUAAAUCUUUUUGCGUCAAAGGGGUACUCGUCUCGGAUGUAAGCUCAAAGGCACUUCUGAUAGGAGAAGUCUAUCCAUCCACCAUCAGUUCUCACGACAAAAAAGCACCUCGAUUGUUUGAACUCGGAGUGUCGAUCAAUGUGCAAGUGAAUAAUGAAGAGCCAUAAGUCCGUAGACUUAGUGGAUCCUAAAAUCAAAAUUAC